AAACCCGGUGAUCUAGCCAUGGGCAGGUUGAAGGUUGGGUAACACUAACUGGAGGACCGAACCGACUAAUGUUGAAAAAUUAGCGGAUGACUUGUGGCUGGGGGUGAAAGGCCAAUCAAACCGGGAGAUAGCUGGUUCUCCCCGAAAGCUAUUUAGGUAGCGCCUCGUGAACUCAUCUUCGGGGGUAGAGCACUGUUUCGGCUAGGGGGCCAUCCCGGCUUACCAAACCGAUGCAAACUCCGAAUACCGAAGAAUGUUAUCACGGGAGACACACGGCGGGUGCUAACGUCCGUCGUGAAGAGGGAAACAACCCAGACCGCCAGCUAAGGUCCCAAAGUCAUGGUUAAGUGGGAAACGAUGUGGGAAGGCAUAGACAGCCAGGAUGUUGGCUUAGAAGCAGCCAUCAUUUAAAGAAAGCGUAAUAGCUCACUGGUCGAGUCGGCCUGCGCGGAAGAUGUAACGGGGCUAAACCAUGCACCGAAGCUGCGGCAGCGACGCUUAGGCGUUGUUGGGUAGGGGAGCGUUCUGUAAGCCGUUGAAGGUGGCCUGUGAGGGUUGCUGGAGGUAUCAGAAGUGCGAAUGCUGACAUAAGUAACGAUAAAGCGGGUGAAAAGCCCGCUCGCCGGAAGACCAAGGGUUCCUGUCCAACGUUAAUCGGGGCAGGGUGAGUCGACCCCUAAGGCGAGGCUGAAAAGCGUAGUCGAUGGGAAACAGGUUAAUAUUCCUGUACUUGGUGUUACUGCGAAGGGGGGACGGAGAAGGCUAGGCUGGCCGGGCGACGGUUGUCCCGGUUUAAGCGUGUAGGGGGUGUGACCUGGUAAAUCCGGUUGCAUACUAACCCUGAGGCGUGAUGACGAUGCACUACGGUGCAGAAGUAGUUGAUGCCCUGCUUCCAGGAAAAUCCUCUAAGCUCCAGGUAACAUUAAAUCGUACCCCAAACCGACACAGGUGGUCAGGUAGAGAAUACCAAGGCGCUUGAGAGAACUCGGGUGAAGGAACUAGGCAAAAUGGUGCCGUAACUUCGGGAGAAGGCACGCUGGCAUGUAGGUGAAGUCCCUUGCGGAUGGAGCUGAAGCCAGUCGAAGAUACCAGCUGGCUGCAACUGUUUAAUAAAAACACAGCACUGUGCAAACACGAAAGUGGACGUAUACGGUGUGACGCCUGCCCGGUGCUGGAAGGUUAAUUGAUGGGGUCAGCCGCAAGGCGAAGCUCUUGAUCGAAGCCCCAGUAAACGGCGGCCGUAACUAUAACGGUCCUAAGGUAGCGAAAUUCCUUGUCGGGUAAGUUCCGACCUGCACGAAUGGCGUAAUGAUGGCCAGGCUGUCUCCACCCGAGACUCAGUGAAAUUGAACUCGCUGUGAAGAUGCAGUGUACCCGCGGCAAGACGGAAAGACCCCGUGAACCUUUACUAUAGCUUGACACUGAACAUUGAGCCUUGAUGUGUAGGAUAGGUGGGAGGCUUUGAAGCGUGGACGCCAGUCUGCGUGGAGCCAUCCUUGAAAUACCACCCUUUAAUGUUUGAUGUUCUAACUCGGCCCCGUGAUCCGGGGUGAGGACAGUGUCUGGUGGGUAGUUUGACUGGGGCGGUCUCCUCCCAAAGAGUAACGGAGGAGCACGAAGGUUAGCUAAUCACGGUCGGACAUCGUGAGGUUAGUGCAAAGGCAUAAGCUAGCUUGACUGCGAGAGUGACGGCUCGAGCAGGUACGAAAGUAGGUCUUAGUGAUCCGGUGGUUCUGAAUGGAAGGGCCAUCGCUCAACGGAUAAAAGGUACUCCGGGGAUAACAGGCUGAUACCGCCCAAGAGUUCAUAUCGACGGCGGUGUUUGGCACCUCGAUGUCGGCUCAUCACAUCCUGGGGCUGAAGUAGGUCCCAAGGGUAUGGCUGUUCGCCAUUUAAAGUGGUACGCGAGCUGGGUUUAGAACGUCGUGAGACAGUUCGGUCCCUAUCUGCCGUGGGCGUUGGAAGAUUGAGAGGGGUUGCUCCUAGUACGAGAGGACCGGAGUGAACGCACCACUGGUGUUCGGGUUGUCAUGCCAAUGGCAUUGCCCGGUAGCUAAGUGCGGAAAAGAUAAGCGCUGAAAGCAUCUAAGCGCGAAACUUGCCUCAA
rnacentral:rRNA from 1 species